rnacentral:tRNA from 1 species
GCCAGUGUGGUGUAAUGGUUUGAGAGCUGGACUAGGACUCUGGAAACCAGGGUUCAAAUCUCUGCUUGGACA